rnacentral:rRNA from 1 species
GGCUACUACAUCCAAGGAAGGCAGCAGGCGCGCAAAUUACCCAAUCCCGACGCGGGGAGGUAGUGACAAUAAAUACUGAUACAGGGCUCUUUUGGGUCUUGUAAUUGGAAUGAGUACAAUUUAAUUCCCUUAACGAGGAACAAUUGGAGGGCAAGUCUGGUGCCAGCAGCCGCGGUAAUUCCAGCUCCAAUAGCGUAUAUUAAAGUUGUUGCAGUUAAAAAGCUCGUAGUUGAACCUUGGGCCUGGCUGGCCGGUCCGCCUCACCGCGUGCACUGGUCCGGCCGGGCCUUUCCCUCUGGGGAGCCGCAUGCCCUUCACUGGGCGUGUCGGGGAACCAGGACUUUUACUUUGAAAAAAUUAGAGUGUUCAAAGCAGGCUUAUGCUCGGAUACAUUAGCAUGGAAUAAUAGAAUAGGACGUGUGGUUCUAUUUUGUUGGUUUCUAGGACCGCCGUAAUGAUUAAUAGGGACAGUCGGGGGCAUCAGU